rnacentral:rRNA from 1 species
UACGUAGGGUGCGAGCGUUGUCCGGAAUUACUGGGCGUAAAGAGCUCGUAGGUGGUUUGUCGCGUUGUUCGUGAAAACUCACGGCUUAACUGUGAGCGUGCGGGCGAUACGGGCAGACUAGAGUACUGCAGGGGAGACUGGAAUUCCUGGUGUAGCGGUGGAAUGCGCAUAUAUCAGGAGGAACACCGGUGGCGAAGGCGGGUCUCUGGGCAGUAACUGACGCUGAGGAGCGAAAGCGUGGGGAGCGAACAGG